UUCGUAUUCUGACCUCAGAUUAGACGUGAAAACCCGCUGAAUUAAGC
rnacentral:rRNA from 1 species